UACAGAGGGGGCAAGCGUUGUUCGGAAUUACUGGGCGUAAAGGGCGCGUAGGCGGCCUUCUAAGUCGAACGUGAAAUCCCCGGGCUCAACCCGGGAACUGCGUCCGAUACUGGAAGGCUUGAAUCCGGGAGAGGGAUGCGGAAUUCCAGGUGUAGCGGUGAAAUGCGUAGAUAUCGGGAGGAACACCAGUGGCGAAGGCGGCUUCCUGGCCUGUUCUUGACGCUGAGGCGCGAAAGCUAGGGGAGCAAACGGG
rnacentral:rRNA from 1 species